rnacentral:rRNA from 1 species
GACGAACGCUGGCGGCGUGCUUAACACAUGCAAGUCGAACGAAGUGGCGAACGGGUGAGUAACGCGUAAUCAACGUGCCCUUCAGAGGGGGACAACAGUUGGAAACGACUGCUAAUACCGCAUACUGAAGGAGGGGAUUGCGUGGGAUUAGCUAGUUUGAGGGGGAACGGCCCACCAAGGCGAUGAUCAGUAGCCGGGCUGGGAGGGUGAACCGGCACAAUGGGACUGAGACAAGGCCCAGGCUCCUACGGGAGGGAGCAGUGGGGAAUCUUCCGCAAUGGACGAAAGUCUGACGGAGCAACGCCGCGUGAGUGAUGACGGCCUUCGGGUUGUAAAGCUCUGUUAAUCGGGACGCGGUACCGGAAUAGAAAGCCACGGCUAACUACGUGCCAGCAGCCGCGGUAAUUC